UGAAAUGUUGACCUCGGAUC
rnacentral:rRNA from 1 species